rnacentral:lncRNA from 1 species
CAAAAAAAUUUUGGUCAGUGUACCAUUUUAAGGGUCAAAAAUUUUUUCCGGACAUACCAAAAGCCAGAUAUUAACUAAAAAUUGCCUGAAUCUCAUGAUUUUCGUACAAAAAACAUAUACUAUUAUUUAAUUCGCUAAUUUGGCAGUCAUCAUUUCAAUUUCAAUUGAAUCAUUCUCUGCACAUUUUACAUUUUAUCACUGCACAUUUUACUUUUAUCACUGCACAAAUUGGUUAUCACUGCACACUAAAAUUAGGUAUGGAUCAAAUGAAAAUCUGACCGAUCAGUAUCAUCCUCGGUCCCAGGGCCUCACGGCUGACACUGCGUUGCCGGCAACGCAGUGUCAGCCGUGGGGCCCUGGGACCGAGGAUGGAUCAGUAUAGGAUACAACCUCGUACCCAGGGCUUCUGCGCUUAUUGCUCUCAGAAGCCCUCAAUCUCGUAGCCAGAGCAAUGCCUGUGCGCGGGCUAGGAUGGCAUUGGCUUUGGGGAAAUUGAAUUUUUCCUGUGCUGUGAUUGGUUUAACGUGUAUCAAUCGUACAUGCCGACAAAGAACCGGAACCCCUAAAUUUAGGGGUUCCGGUUAUCAAUUUCCCCAGAGCCAAUGCCAUCCUAGCCCGCGCACAGGCAUUGCUCUGGGUACGAGAUUGAGAAGCCCUGGGAUAAUCAGCCCUGGGUACGAGGUUGGGGUAAUCCAACUCAGAACGUGAUUUGAUUGGUCAAUGCGAAUACAAGGAAAGUACCGGAAGUUAUUAAUUCACCGGGUGAUAUUUUGGCAACAUGGCUGCUAUCACAAGGAGUGUAUACAAAAGUUAAAUGCUGGUUUUUGCAUGAAAAUACUUUUUUAAGCCAAAUUCUGGGCUAUUUUGAAAAGAGAAAAAGAAGAAAUGGACUAUUUGUAUUUGUAAAUAAGCAAGAAUGGCGAACAAAGUAAAAAAUAUUAUUCCCAAUUUGAGGAUGCUGGGUGCACUUAUGGGUGCAUGCACUGCCUCAGAGUUUGUAUUAGUCCCUAUUUAUUAUUGAGUUAUUAGUGCCUCUAAAUCUCUAAUGUACAAACAUUGUAAU